rnacentral:misc_RNA from 1 species
CAGGAAAGAAUAAAUGAACUAAAAACAAAUGAAAACUAACUAAAACUAAAUAAAACAUGAGCAAAAUGUAUGCAAAUGAUGGAUUCUGAAAAUGUGUAAAACUUGCUUUAUUACAUUGGUAAAUCUUGUUCUCGAGACAAUUAAAUAUUUGAUUUUGUCAUGCGUGUAGAAACUGGCGAAUGGACUGGAGAUUGAUUACUACACGUCUACAUCACACUAUUAUAGUAUAAUUGUUCAUUAGUGGGAGAUGUAACUGGUUUUGUGUUUGAGCUAAAUGAAGAUGUGGAAGCAUUUAUAUUG